UUGCUUUCAUUCACGUGGAAGAUAGUGUUGCAUCUGACGGUAAGGUUGUAAAGGAAUUUUAUUCGAAGCUUGUGAAAGCUGAUAUACAUGGAAAAGAUCAGGAGGUAUAUUCGAUCAAACUUCCUGGAGAACCAAAGCUAGGAGAAGGAAAACCUGAAAACCAAAACCAUGCUAUAGUUUUCACUCGUGGAGAUGCUGUUCAAACUAUUGACAUGAACCAGGACAACUAUCUUGAAGAGGCAUUGAAAGUGAG
rnacentral:misc_RNA from 1 species